AGCUGACUUUGAGUUCAGUCAAGUCAGUUCAGUCAAGUGUUAUCCUUUGGACCGGGUGGUCAAGUAAUAUUUCAGUCCGCAACGGACAGUAGCGACUUAGAAAAGUCUAUAGUAAUUUCAGUUAGAAAGUAACUUGUGGGCAGUUGUUGCCAGUGGUCUUUUUGAGACAUGUAUUAGUUAAUCUAUAUUUCUGCACAGUGUUACCCGCUGAGAUGCGGACGUGAUUUGUAACUAACGUAUUGGAUAUUUUUGAUACCGCUGUCAUGCGGAUAGUAUUGUUUAUUAUUUCUUGACUUGUAGCACUAACAAGGAGUGCAGUAUUAUUAUUAUUGUAGUAAAAUAAACUUUAUAUUUGUCUGCUGACACGGACUUAAGUCAGUUUAUAGUAUUUGUCUUGUCACGUGUCAAGAGUACUUCAGGAGGCAGGAACCCAGCAUUACACGACAUUCGCAUUCUGCAACCUUACAUUUACAAUCGGUUCAGAAAAAUUCAGCCGGAGAGAACUGGGAUACCCCUAUCUUCAUAUUAACUAUAUCAGUAAUGACCAAACUACGGUCCAAGUAUCACAUCCAGCCCAUGGCGCAGUGAUUCACUGACCUUCAACAUUUCUUCCCACACCGCACGAUGACGAAGCUCCAUUGGAUCUGACGAUUUUUUUUUUUUUGGCGGGAAUGCGGUCGGAAAUUUAUUUCGCCAUAGGCCAAAAAGGUAGAUUCUACAUUCAAAGUUCCAAUUCACACACAAAUGUUAAAGGUCAUGGUACCAAUCUAUCAGAGAAAAGUGAGGACCCAAACGUAGUCUGUGGUGAUUCUAACAGAACUUCAGGACCUCUCGGUGUCAACUGGUGAAGAUUUGUUGUCUCGGGGUUUCAUUUGGGGGAAAAAUUAUCACCAGACCAGACAUACUUGUAUUCAUAAUCUACUUAGAUCUAGUCCAAUAAAUUCCUCAUGAGCGCACUGCAAUGCUGUCUGGCUUCAAACUUUGGUUUCUUAACAGGUUAACAUCUGGAAGCCUGGGCAGUUCUGCCCACUAAGUGUUUCUCCGAUGGUGAUGAGGAGAAACGGUCAGACUACUAAAGUUCCUUUGGACCUGUAUACAAUGGCGCCGAUCUCACGUCUUAUCCUCAACGUGAGAAUGACUGUUAGUGAUGUCCAGGAACAUUGUUGAUUAGCCCAGCUUUAAGUAUAUAGUGUUGGACAUAAAAACAUCAGAACAAUAGGAAUUCAAGCUGAUCUGUCAGCUGGUAAACGCACCAACAAAAUCAUGAACUAUGAACAAUUUUGGAUCAUCGCUCUUUGUAAUGAACAAGAAAAAAAAAUCUUAUUUUGACCACUCGCUUAUGCUCCUAUAUCUGCGACUAUGACUUUAUAAUUGAUGAACUCCAGCGGGUAUAUUACAAUGCCAGUGCCAAUGAUCAUUGAACUAUAUAUAACUUCUCAAUAACACUGACUGCUCAACAGUAUUAUAUGGUCUGAAUGUGGAUGGGUUCACCUGUUUGUCUUGUGUGUUAGUGUCAUUGAAAAUAUCUGAAUAAACCACAUAAAAAAUAAGACAAGGCAGAGUGGCCUAGGUCUUCUGUAGUGCCCUGGUAAGGAACUCUGCUGUGCGGCGUAGUGCCUCAUUGCCUCCAUACAGAUCUAGUUGACCACUGGAUACGUCUCCCAGCUGUGGACACUCUUGCAAGACGUGCACUACAUUUUCCCCGCAGCGUCGGCAACGGGCAUCAAAAUCCUAGAAAUAUCAGUAUCAUGUAAAACUGGACUCACUGAUGAUAUUAAAUAUCCAAAUAGAAUUCUAACCACUGUUAGGCUUCGACCUUUUAAAGUUUUCAAUUUAUAAAACUUCGCCACCUCAUCACAUAAAUUACUGCAUUCGGUUUGCAACCCGAGGGAUCACACAUUCAUGCUAAACCAAGUCAGAGUUCAGAGGUCACAGAGGUCACAAAACCUGAAGAUCUGAACGCCAUUUCCGUUUAAUAUUGUAAAUGAUUCAGAGUUGAGACUUGGACCAUUGCCACUCAGCCAGUGCUGAAUUUCAAGUGGUCCUUCAGUCUGCACUUUACAAGACCAAUGAGAGAUAUAAGAAUAAUGGAAUUGGUUCUUAUGUCUGGCUCCAGAGAGCUGACCAUAGAACACUAUGUUAAGUGGUCAGUAUUGAUUUGAUAGCAUUCGAUGAUGGAAAUACUAAUAAUUAUCACCAGCGGCUAGAUUCUUUUCUUUUUUAUUUGCUUUUAUAAAAACUAGAAUCGGAAAUUUGAAUGAAGUCAAUAUACAUCUACACGAGUACAAAACGAAGAGAGAGAGAGAGAAAUGGGAGAAAAAGAGAGAGAAAGAGAAGGAGAAAUGAGUAAGAUAGGGGAGAGAAUGAUGAAGAUAAUGGGAGAGAGAGAGGGUCAGGGGAGAGGCAACACAAUGUAAGAAAAGCGAAAUAUAUCAAAGAUAUACAAAUGUAAUUACAUUACUGCUAUCUCUGAAUACCGUGUAAUCAAAGUGUUAAUACUGUUACGUAUUUCUGAAU